AAGAAGAAGGGGUUAUUAUUGGACGGGGUGUUGCUGCAGCUGAACUCGUACUCUUGUGGGGACACGACUGACAAGGCCAUGUCGCUGGAGUGGCAGCCGAAGAAGGUGGAGGAAGACGAAAACGAGGACACGGCAUGUUUGUUGUUUUGGUGGUGGCGAGUGAUGCCGUUGAAGGUGAGGAAGUUGCCGAUGGCUUUGCCGGCGAGCUUGUUGCCACGUUUAGCUAUGAGGCUGAGGUCUAAGGCUACGCGGCUCCUUGAGAUGCCUCGCCGGAGCAUGAAGAAUACUGCGCGUGCUAUCUGCCACACCUUCUUCGCUACUUGAUCUUCUCCCCGAGCUUUCCGGCCUUCCAUUUUUUUUGGUUUCUAGACAGAGAGAGAGAGCGCGUGGACAGAGUAGAGAGAGAGAGAGAGAGAGAGUAGAGAAAUGGUUUGAUCCGUUGUGGUUGUGGGGGAUGGGGUUAGAGAUUGUAUAGCGUAUUUAAAGGGGGAUGGGAAUUGCUUUACUAUAAUUAUUUUGGAUCAUAAUACUCUUUGAUUUUAUAUUUGUUUAUAGAAUUAAUAAAUAAUAACCGUACCGUAUUUCU
rnacentral:lncRNA from 1 species